GAAUGAUAUAUUAUAUUUCAAUUUAAUUUGAAUAAUUGUGUAAAUUUUUGGAUAAUUUUAAGGUAAUUAGAAUUUACGUACAGCUCGGAGUGCGUGACCUAUUCAUUAAAAUGGAGUUUGUACGCCAUAAUACAGUAAUUGGCAAGGUGGAACGUGGUCGACUUUCUAUAGGAAACCGCUAUUUAGAUAUUAAGCACGUGAAGAAACCGGGAAACUCCACAUGGCCGGGUGACUGGUGAGGAGGGAAACCACGACCAGUGUUUCGUAAUUUUAUCCACUCUGCCACUGGAGAAACAAGAGAAAGAGGACAUCCAAGGUUAUAUACAACAUAAAACAAUGGAUAGAUCAAGGAUAGAAUAUGCAACAGAUAGAAGGACACGAAGAAAAAGGAUCAACAAGCCUUCUGUAUAGCAGAUGCAACGAGGAGAGAGAGAAAUUUACUUUCAUAAAUUUUAUAUUACACUAUCUUUAUAUAAAAUACUCUUCUAAUUAAUUCAUCAAAUGUUGAUUUUGAUGGAAUAAGGCAAUUCAACUUAUGGGUGAUCUGUCAAGAGGAAGAUACAGCACGUUCUAGACUAUCUGUAAAGAAACUGGACCAUAUUUAGGUGUGACACGUGAAGAAAACCUGGAAAACUUCACAUGGCCAGCCUGUUAGUCAGAAAGAAAAAUCUAUGGAGAAGUCGAAGUCCAUCAAAGAUUUUGAAAUCGAAGUGAAAAGGACAAAUGAAAAUAGAUGUUGCAGACUCAUAAGCAUUCAGCAAAUAUCUGAAAAGAGCUUAUUCUAGAGUGCAGGCUGAAGAAAGGAGGAGAGUGAGAGAGGAGAAAAAGGAUGAGAAAAUGAGGAGAAGGUCUCAGUGCGGUACUGAAUAGAUAAGAUGAAUGAAAAAGGGGAGCGUGAAACUUAAACGUCAUUAUCACAUGACUGAGACGUCACUCGUCACUACUUCUGAAAGCAAAGAUGGCGACGGAUGCUCGUCUGCUGACACACAGGAGAAGUUUUCUUCUCCUUUUAACAUAUUUACAACUCAAAUGUGUAACGUCAGCAUUCGUAAUAACGGAAAUGACGGAAGCACGCGAGUUAAGAUCCUACAGGAGCUACCACGAAGUGGAAAUGCAUCAUUAUACCAUCCCUAGUCAAAUAUCGUUAGCAAGUUGGGAAUUCAAAGCUAAUGGAACAUCGUCGUGCACUUCAAAAAGUAUUUUAGUGUAAGUUGCCCCCUUUUUUAUGAUCUAUUAGUUACUAAACAUCGAAAAAAACCCUCGGCAAUACAAAAAAAAGAGCAAGAAAAGAAUUCCAUCAUUCAAAAUAAAUGGAAAUCCAAUGGAUUCGGUAUUAGAUUUAGCAGCUCGCGUCUGGAAAUUGGUUGCAUCUGUCGAACAGAAACAAACAUUCUAUUAUUUCUAUGGAAUUUUUUCGGUUUGCGUACAAGAAAGUUUGUUGCACAAACUGGCAAACCAUUGAUUUGCUCGAUGAUCUUUUAUUACCAGUAGUUAAAUGUCAGGAUUGUGAGGACGGAUAGAAUUAAACCCGUGAUUUAUGGAGAGCUUUUCUCGUCUUUUCCUCUACGUUUCCGAAUUGGUGACAUUUCUCUGGUCGAAAACUCAUCCUUAACAAUGGAAAACACCGUAAAAGAUUUGUUACCGUUUAAUUUUAACAGACAUCCAACAUUCUGAAAUGCUAAUUUAUGAUCCGGCAGACAAUUAGCUUAUUGCAUUCUUUAGUGUUUUAAUCUUGGAGAAAUUAUGCAAAGUUAUUAGAUUAGUUUGUAAAGAAGACAGUUUAAAAAAAAAGGGGGAAAGAACGGAUAGAAAACGUGAUGUUGACUAUUUAUUCUGGUGUUAUUGUUGAGCAGAGAAAAGCGGAACCAUAAAAAAUAUAUAACAUGAAAAGGAGCCAUUUUGUGUUUGCAGUUUUGUUUGGUAAUAGGAAGAAAGAAAGAGGGAAAAAAAUGGUUGCUCGACUGAAAUAUGUGCUCUAUCGCGUAGUUUUUUGAAUAGAAUUUAUCGUUUUUUUUUUCUUUUUUUUGAAUGUUAGAAGUGGAGAAAAAUUUUCAUUGGUUUU